CGGGCCCCCACUCCCUUUUGUGGCUCUGUAUUAUUAUCCUCAUUUAAAGAAGCUCAAAGAAGUUAAUUGGUUCCAAUCCCCAGGGCAGGCCAGGCCCUGGACCAUGGAAGGAUGCUACCCAUAUACAGAAUGGAUCUUCUGCAUGAAUUAACCCAAUCUAGAACCCCCAUCGCAGACAUGCUCCAAAGUGUUUCUCCUAGGUGACAGGUCCUGUCAAGUUGACAACAUUAAUAACCAGAAGAGUCAAGAGGGUAGAGAAGCACUUCUGACGAAAUGCCAUGUAGUACAGUCUCAAGGUGCAGGCGGUGGGAAAGUAGUUAUAAACAGAAGCAAGAGAGAGCAAUGGGAUGAGUUCUGGUAAAAGAUGGCUGUGAGGGGCUUAACGACUUAGGAAGAAAUGGAUGGCCAAGUUUGGAGGAGAAUCCUGGC
ensembl:lncRNA LOC102552900 uncharacterized LOC102552900